CAAGUUCUCAAUUCGAUUCCAAGUACAUGGAGAGCGUAUGUUGAAAUUAAUAAAUCUAAAAUGGUGAUUAAGGAAGGAUUACUGUGCAUCUUUGAAAGUCAUUCAAUUCCUUAAUUAAAAACGACCAAUAUGCUGCGGUUCACCCUUAACAUCAUGUUUUUAACCAACGACAUCAUGGGUAGUAAAAUAAGUAAAACCAUAUUCAUAUUCUUUCUUAAUUUUCUCAAUUUUGAUCGUAUUUCGUUUUUUUCCACAACACCAGAUAUUAAAAUCGAUAAAGAACUUUUUCCAUCCGCAGUUGGGAGUACAUCAUUCCUACUUCGAUAUACUUUUGAAAGAGAAAAGUGAACCGAUUGGAAUUGUUUCGACAACACGAAUUUUACUUCUAGGUCAUAUAUUUAUGGCGAUGCCAAACAACAAUAUUGUUGAGACACAUUUUGCAUGCUUUUUUUUAUUUGGAUGUUCUUCCAAUUGAUCAAUACAGUAACUUUAGAACUAUCAUCGCUAUGCCUUUAAAUGACCGCACUAAAAGCAUGGUACCGAAGCACUGACAUAAACAGAGAGGUUCAGAAAGGAAUUUAAAGAUUGACUUUUUCGAUAAACUUCAUGUUACAAGUCUUUAUCNGNUUGUGUUUAUAAAUCAUCAGCCUCUCUCUAUAUCUCUAUAUCUCUAUAUCUCUAUAUAUCAGAUAUAAAAGAUGCCAAGUUUUNGAAGUAGACAUUNCCCCACAAGGNCUAGUACACCNNGNUCUCUUGGGGCUCA
rnacentral:sRNA from 1 species